rnacentral:rRNA from 1 species
AUUGAACGCUGGCGGCAGGCCUAACACAUGCAAGUCGAGCGAGCGGCGGACGGGUGCGUAAUGUCUGGGAAACUGCCUUCUGGAGGGGGAUAACUACUGGAAACGGUAGAUAAUACAGCGUAACAUCAGCUGGGCCCCGAUGGGAUUGGCUAGUAGGUGGGGUAACGGCUAUCAUAGGAGACGAUCCCUAGCUGUUCUGAGCGGAUGACCAGCCCCACUGGAACUGAGCCACUGUCCAGACUCCUACUGUAGGCAGCGUUGUGGAAUAUUGCACAAUGGGCGCAAGCCUGAUGCAGCCAUGCCGCGUGUGUGAAGAAGUCCUUCUGGUUGUAAAGCACUUUCAGCGGGGAGGCUUUACCCGCAGAAGAAGCACCGGCUAACUCCGUGCCAGCAGCCGCGGUAAUUC